AGAAAGGAGCUCUGAAGAGCUGUACAAGGUGAGAGAUUUUUACAGACCCACGUGAGCAGGAACAAGGAAGUGAAACUGGGCAUUUGCUGAUUGGGUAAAGCAAGACUGCUUUCCUCAUAUGGAGAAAAGGGAAGUCUUGGAUCCUGGUCAGGUAACUUGGGCUGAGCAGCAACCUAGAGAGAAAGGCUUAGUCUCAUCUUACAGUGGAGGAAACUGAAGCUUAGAGAGCUUAAGCGACAUGCUCAAGUCCCUACAACUACAACAUGGAGGAGCCCGGAGGAUUUGAGCCAGGAUGGCGAAGGAUGAUGUAGCAUUUGGGAAAGAAGAGGCAGAAUAUGAGGCUUGCUCCUGAUGCCAAGAUGGCAAAGACCUGCAUGGCUACUAUGUCUUUGCUUCAGGCACUCAUGUACGCAGGGAUGAAGGACACUUAGGAUGGGGGUAUUUGGCCAUUGAGGUGUGACAGUCAUGGGAACAGAAAAAAGACAUGCAAGACUAAGAACCAUGUGGAAAAUGCUAUGGAUGUUUAGAGAAGGGAAUGAUAAACCCUGCCUGGAUGAGCUGGAGGAAACUGCAAGAAGCAUGGCAUGAUACUUGAGAUGCAACUGCACUUACAUUAGAAGUCCCCCACCUGGCGACCUUAGAUACUUAGGAGUCUGGGAAAGGACAAAUGGGGCUCUAUGGGCUGUUUUCCACUGUGUAAAAAAGCUUGGCAUCAAUUGUCUAUUUCCUGACAUAAGGCUACAAGGCUAAAACAGAGCAACUCCACAUAGACACACUAGCUAUCUCAGGAUAAACUUGAAUUGGCAAUUAUAUAUAAUUUUUUGCUAAGUUAUUUUAAUAUUAAUUCUAUUUCAUUCUUAUAAGGUAGUGAUUGUUUUUAUUUUCCACAUUAAGUCAAGAAACAAAAGAA